GUGAGUAACGCGUGGGAACGUACCCUUCUCUGCGGAAUAGCCACUGGAAACGGUGAGUAAUACCGCAUACGCCCUUCGGGGGAAAGAUUUAUCGGAGAAGGAUCGGCCCGCGUUGGAUUAGGUAGUUGGUGGGGUAAUGGCCUACCAAGCCUACGAUCCAUAGCUGGUUUGAGAGGAUGAUCAGCCACACUGGGACUGAGACACGGCCCAGACUCCUACGGGAGGCAGCAGUGGGGAAUCUUAGACAAUGGGCGCAAGCCUGAUCUAGCCAUGCCGCGUGAGUGAAGAAGGCCUUAGGGUCGUAAAGCUCUUUCGCUGGGGAAGAUAAUGACUGUACCCAGUAAAGAAACCCCGGCUAACUCCGUGCCAGCAGCCGCGGUAAUACGGAGGGGGUUAGCGUUGUUCGGAAUUACUGGGCGUAAAGCGCGCGUAGGCGGAUCAGAAAGUUGGGGGUGAAAUCCCGGGGCUCAACCUCGGAACUGCCUCCAAAACUCCUGGUCUUGAGUUCGAGAGAGGUGAGUGGAAUUCCGAGUGUAGAGGUGAAAUUCGUAGAUAUUCGGAGGAACACCAGUGGCGAAGGCGGCUCACUGGCUCGAUACU
rnacentral:rRNA from 1 species